CGUGAUUGGGAGUCCCAUAGGGCGGCGCACAAUUGGCCCAGCGUCGUCUGGGUUUGGCCGGGGUAGGCCGUCAUUGUAAAUAAGAAUUUGUUCUUGACUGACUAGCCUAAUUAGAUCAAGGUUAAAUACAAUUUUUUUAAAUUCCGGGAAAACUUAAAAACAACAUCAAUGGAGAAGUCAACAUACAAGUAUAAGUAUAAGCGAAUGCAAAUAAGUUAUACAUUGUGGUACUAAUGCAAAAAGUAAACACUUUUGUUUGGUUAUCAUUUUCCUUCAGAAGUUCCAGCUAGGCAUUAGCUAAUUAAUUUGCUAGCUAUCAUACAGUGCAGUAGGUGAAUAAUAAUAAUGAUAUAUUUAGUAAGUAAACCUGCACUCAUAAUUGACUGCAGGGCAUAAAAGCACCCACAAGCUACCGGUGCCUGAAAACACAAUCAUUGCGGGAUGAACGAGUGACGAAUUACCAAGAUUGGCGGACCGGAAACCCAGUGACAACACUCGGGUCUGCAGCUGACAUUUUCCGUUGGGAAAGAGAAAUGGCCCUGUAUUUGCCAGAAAAUGUUGCUCAUCCAUCAUCGCAGAAGAGGAAGAGUCAUAUACUUCCACAAUGGCAGAAGAGGUAGAUCCAGACACAUUCAACAUGGCAGACGAAGUUCCAGGCGCCUCGGCCACUGAAGAAUGUAGGAGGCUGCUGUCUACACCGUUGCGGAAUGUUCUCACUGAGGUGCAUCUUAUUAAGGAAACAGUGCAGUUGAAGGUUCUACAGGAGAAUCAGCUGUAUACCUGCAACGGGUAUUCAGCAUCGUGGCUGUCUGAUAAAGUA